CGCAUGUCGAAUUUUUCGUUGCCAGUGUCCCAUCGAGUGGUUUCACUUCGCCUGCGUCGACCUCGCCACCAAGCCCAAAGGAAAAUGGUUUUGUCCGCGAUGCACUCAAGACAAGAAGAAGAAAUAAGAAGAAAUACAUUUAUGAUAUUGCGGUAGUAAAAUAGUGGGAUUAUAUCCAGAAAUCUAUAUUUUCGCUCCUGUUUGUACAAGCUUGCUUCUAACGACUCAAUGUGGAUUUUGGGAGUGUCGCUACUACGGGUGUAACGGUACAGCAAAAAUCGUGGUUUGCCAACGACCUUGGCUUAAAGGUCACGUUUCGGUUCACAUUGAUUACGGUAAGGGAACAAAAUACACCGUCUGAAAGUGCUUUUCUUUUGGGUCAGCAGGGAACAUUUUUAAUGGCUGAAAAUCAAACGUAAAAACUGCAAACUGUUCGCAGUAAAUCCUCCCAAGAAAUGAAACAAUCCCAAAUCAGUACGUUUUAAAUUAGCAUU